rnacentral:rRNA from 1 species
AUUGAACGCUGGCGGCAGGCCUAACACAUGCAAGUCGAACGAGCGGCGGACGGGUGGGUAAUUUAUGGAGAUCUGCCCGAUAGAGGGGGAUAACUACUGGAAACGGUGGAUAAUACCGCAUACGAUCGGUUGGACCCAUGGGGGAUUAGCUAGUAGGUGGGGUAAAGGCUCACCUAGGCGACGCUAUCUAGCUGGUCUGAGAGGAUGAUCGGCCACACUGGGACGGAGACACGGCCCAGACUCCUACGGGAGGCAGCAGUGGGGAAUAUUGGACAAUGGGCGAAAGUCUGAUGGAGCCAUGCCGCGUGUAUGAAGAAGGCUUUAGGGUCGUAAAGUACUUUCAGCGGGGAGGCGUUAUCUGAAGAGGAAGCACCGGCUAACUCCGUGCCAGCAGCCGCGGUAAUUC